CCUGCCUUACACAGGGGGAUAACAGUUAGAAAUGACUGCUAAUACCGCAUAAGCACACAGGACCGCAUGGUCUAGUGUGAAAAGUUUUUCGGUGUAAGAUGGACUCGCGUCUGAUUAGUUAGUUGGUGAGGUAAUGGCUCACCAAGACCGCGAUCCGUAACUGGUCUGAGAGGAUGAUCAGUCACACUGGAACUGAGACACGGUCCAGACUCCUACGGGAGGCAGCAGUGGGGAAUAUUGGACAAUGGGGGGAACCCUGAUCCAGCCAUGCCGCGUGUGUGAAGAAGGUCUUCGGAUUGUAAAGCACUUUAAGUUGGGAGGAAGGGCAGUUAACUAAUAUUUGACUGUUUUGACGUUACCGACAGAAUAAGCACCGGCUAACUUCGUGCCAGCAGCCGCGGUAAUACGAAGGGUGCAAGCGUUAAUCGGAAUUACUGGGCGUAAAGCGCGCGUAGGUGGUUCGUUAAGUUAGGAGUGAAAGCCCCGGGCUCAACCUGGGAAUUGCUUCUAAAACUGGCGGGCUAGAGUAUGGUAGAGGGUGGUGGAAUUUCCUGUGUAGCGGUGAAAUGCGUAGAUAUAGGAAGGAACAUCAGUGGCGAAGGCGACCACCUG
rnacentral:rRNA from 1 species